rnacentral:rRNA from 1 species
UUGACACGAUGUUAGGCCUGUGAACCCGCUGAAUUUAA